CAUGAUAGGCCCCCGUGAACCCAAAUCUGUGGCUUGAUGGACUCCAGGGAAGAAUGUAUAGCUAGUCCCAUCCUUGUCUGAUCUUGGCAGAUGCUUCAGUGAGGUUAUAGAAAGCUAAUUCCACUUCCCAGUGCUCCAUUUGAACAUGUGCUCCUAUGCUCAGCUGGUUUUAGGUGUGGCUUUGGUUUCUGAGCAGAAACUCUCUUUCCAUGAAAUAAUGACAUCCUUAAAGUGUUGUGCUUUGCUUGUCGUUCAGAGAAGACAGCACUUCCGGGAAAUGCACUAUACAAUAUGGAUGGAUUCCCUGUCCAGAGAGGAAACCAGGCGCACCCUUCACUACAGGAAAGAACUUGCUCCCUGACCUGCCAGCCAGGUGGAAUUUCAUUUCUUUGUGCUCUCGGCAUCUGGUGCUUUGAAGAACUGGCUUCAUUAGCCACUAACAGAGAUGCACUUGUCGAAACAUCAGCAACUGACUUUUUUGUGUGUGCUUAAGAGAUCACAGAUAUUUUUGUACUGGUGCUAUCAGAGGUUGGAAGGAUUGCUAUAGCUACAUGUUCUUGCCCCUCUCUCUAAGGUCUAUGGCAAUGAGUAGCAAUGAUAAUAAUUAUGAUAGUGAUAAUAGCAAACCAUUCACUAUACGUUUUGUGCUGGGCACUGUAGUAAGUUCAUUUUAUGUUCAAAACAACCUUCUGAAGUAUAUGUCAUUUAGGAUUCGUUUGACUGCAAGUGGCAGAAACCCAAUUUCAAUGGUUUAACCAAUGGAGGGAUUUAUUUUUCUCAUGUAAUAGGAAGUCCAGCUGUAAGCACUUCAGAGUGAGUAUGCAGGCCACAUGGUGCCAUCAAGAACCCAGUCUCUUUUGCUGGAGGCUUGCUUCCUCAUGUAUGCAGCAUAGCUGUUCUAUUUUGUGCUUCACAACUAAUUUUUAGGCAGGAAGUUUUUGAAAGAAGGGAGAAGCUAAGUAGCACAAACUGACAAGGUGAAUGUAAGCUGGAUGUGUGCCCUCUAACCAGCUUUCUCAGAAACUCCAGCUGGUACCUCCACUUGCAGCUCCUUGUCCAGAACUGUGUUGCAUGACCACAUCUAGUUGCAAGGAAGUUGGGUAAUCCAAGAGCAUUUAAGUGAGUCCCUUGUUAGUAAGAAAGAAAGGAGAACUAGCUAUUGGUUCCAUAACCAGUCAUGCCUAGCUUAAGUAGUUAAUGUUUGUUCAAAAUUUACAGACAAAGAAAGUGAAAUUGGAGAAGUUAAGUAUUUACCAAAGGCUAUCUAGCUAGGGAGUGAUGGAGCCCAGAUCUGAAUCCAGCAGGUGCUGACAGCUGAGCCAUUCCACGCACCUUCGGAGCAAAGCACUGCCGGAAACCAGGGCCAAGUUCAGAGCCUGAAAUUUUUUUCAAAGGCUACAAGGAGAAACCUGGAGGGCCUGAUCACGCAUUACAUAAGCCGACAUACCACAGAGUACAAACCAUGCUUUAGUGACAUUGAUCAGGCCACAGAUGACUGAGUUAUGAGAGGCCAUGAGCUUUCCAAGAUCAGUUUCCUAAACCAGCUGCUUCUCAUCAGUCCGGUCCCCACUGGCCAGAGCUAUUGACAUCCUGGAAGAUAAUCCUAUAUUCCUACAAAGCGAAACCAGAUGUCUACAAGAGCCCUGCUUCGGAUACCUAUAUCGUUUUGGGGGAAGCCAAGAUUGAAGAUUUAUCUCAGCAAGCACAAGUAGCAACUGCUGCGAAAUUCAAAGUUCAGGGUGAAGCUGUCUUAAACGUUCAAGAAAACACACAGACUCCAACUAUACAAAAGGAGAGUGAAGAGGAUGAGGUUGAUGAAACAGGUGUAGAAGUUAAGGACAUAGAAUUUGUCAUGUCACAAGGGAAUGUGUCCAGAGCAAAGGCAGUUGGAGCCUGGAAGAACAAAGUAAUAAUAUUGUAAAUGCUAUUAUGGAAUUAACAGUGUAACCAUCUGAAAGCAACUUUUAUUGGUGUCUCAAAUGAAUGACUGCAGCUUGGUUUGAAAUUUGUACUACUUCUAUCAUAAAUAAAGUUAUGGCUUCUUGUUGGAUGAAAAAAAGAAAAGAGUGAAUUGUUAUUUUUGAUAUUUUGGUUCAGUCUGUAUACCAUGUGUCAUUUUGCCUUUGCC